GAUGAAGAACGCAGCGAAAUGCGAUAAGUAAUGCGAAUUGCAGAAUUCAGUGAGUCAUCGAAUCUUUGAACGCACAUUGCGCCCUGUGGUAUUCCGCAGGGCAUGCCUGUUCGAGCGUCAUUUCAACCCUCAAGCUCUGCUUGGUGUUGGGCCCUGCCCGCUGCGGCCGGCCCUAAAGACAGUGGCGGUGCCGCCUGGCCCUGAGCGUAGUACAUCUCUCGCUCCAGUGCCCGGUGGUAGCCUGCCAGAACCCCAACUCUCGUGGUUGACCUCGGAUCAGGUAGGGAUGCCCGCUGAACUUAAGCAUAUCAAUAAGCGGAGGA
rnacentral:misc_RNA from 1 species